CUUUUAAGUAAACAGGGGCGUGACAACCGAUCAGAGGUAACGGGUGGAGUUGAACUGCAAGCUCUGAGAAUUCAGCUGGUGAGUGUGGUUUGAGCUUGGUCAAGUCAGUUGGACUUCGUGGUCCGAGAAGCACUUAGCAAGUGUUGUGGGCCUCGAGUGUUCUUCGGGCUGACUCGCCGGUGCAGUUUCUCAGAGUGGUCACCACGACCGGCAUCGCUGUCUGGCUGGUGGGGUUAAACCGGUUUUGCAUGGUCCCAGUGGCCCUGUUUGAUCGGGAUGGCGGUAGCUCGUUGGCUUGCUCGCGGUCCUCCGUGUGCGUGGUCUUCGAGUGUAAUCAGCUGACCACAUCGGUUCUGUGCAGUAUGUCGGAGACGGCGGCUAGUGCGCGUGCGUGCAUAGCUGGUUGGCGUGUCCGGGUCUGGUUGUUACGUUGCCUGUUUGUGCAGGCCUGAUGAUGGCUCGGAUUCGUUCGGCUUGGCUGUUGCGUGCGUGUACAUAUGGGGCCGAUAGUCUGUGGGUGUAGUGGUAAUUUAUCCCACCUGAACCCCGUCUUUGAAACCCCGGGACCAAAGAA
rnacentral:rRNA from 1 species